CCACUGAUGCAACGUAUGGCUGUUGAACUGCAAUGCUCCUUUUAAGCCUCCUUUACACUGAAUCUGCAUGAUCGUAUGAGAGCUCCUCACUACCUCGAUGAGUCCCACACAGUCACCAAUAGACAAACAACCAUAAGGUCUCUCUCCUCACCUUCCCCCAAAGUCUGUAUUUCUUCUGUUUUGCAGACCUACACAGAGAGGAAGAACAGUUAUAGCUUAAAGACAAGGCCACUUAGAGGUGCCAAAAAUGAAGCUAUACCCCUAACAUCUUCCUGAGGGCUGCUUAUGGAUCCUUCUUUUCAGGAACUUCCAUCCGAUGCUUCCUUUACUGUUACCAAAUAUUUUAGCCUCAACUUACUUAAAAUUUUGAGAAGAUGCUUCUGCUUAUACUUUCCCAUAUGUUAGGACAGCUGAAAUAGCUGUCUGUUCCAGUUGGUCAAACAGUUCUGUAUCUCUGCAAAAUUUUGGUGUUAAAUAUCAACAAGCAAAACCACAGCACUACAGAAAGUGAAGUACAUUUAAUUUCCUCCUCCUAAAUAAUCCACAAUGCAAACAGUGACUUUUGAUGACCUCUUUUCCACUUCUUAAGUUUUGCUGUAUUUUAAGCCUCUGUGAUCACCGAAUAUACACAAGACAUCAAGUAUACCAAAAUGUGUUAUAUACCUGUA